GAUGAACGCUGGCGGCGUGCCUAAUACAUGCAAGUCGAGCGAACGGACGAGAAGCUUGCUUCUCUAAUGUUAGCGGCGGACGGGUGAGUAACACGUGGAUAACCUACCUAUAAGACUGGGAUAACUUCGGGAAACCGUAGCUAAUACCGGAGAAUAUUUUGAACCGCAUGGUUCAAAAGUGAAAGACGGUCUUGCUGUCACUUAUAGAUGGAUCCGCGCUGCAUUAGCUAGUUGGUAAGGUAACGGCUUACCAAGGCAACGAUGCAUAGCCGAACUGAGAGGGUGAUCGGCCACCCUGGAACUGAGCCACGGUCCAGACUCCUACGGGAGGCAGCAGUAGGGAAUCUUACGCAGUGGUCGAAAGCCUGGCGGAGCAGCGCCGCGUGAGUGAUGAAGGUCUUCGGAUCGUAAAACUCUGUUAUUAGGGAAGAACAUAUGUGUAAGUAACUGUGCACAUAUUGACGGUACCUAAUCAGAAAGCCACGGCUAACUACGUG
rnacentral:rRNA from 1 species